CAAACGCCUACGGUCCCCCUUCACUCUCUUUUCUUCCCCUAAGUCAGCUCGCUAUAGAAAUAAGUCCCCCAGCCCUCACCCACCUCCCCUGCCUCCCCUGCCCCAGUCCCCCACCACCAUCGAAACCCCCAUUCAGUAUUCUCGGCUAAUUGAAAGUGAGUCCCCAGCCCCUGAUGUUCUUGAUUCCUCCUCUAACCCUAAGUCUGGGGAACAGAGAUGUGAGUCCCCCUCCUCGGACACUCCCCUCUCCCCCUCCAUCCAUAAUGUUAACAACCCCAACAAAACCACCUUCUCCUUUUCCUUCUCCUUCACUCUGCCCUGGUGGCUUUCCUGCUGUAGGUGUCAGUGGUUACGGUUGAUGUGAGGCUGUUGUGUGUGUGCUGUGUGUGAGUUAGUCCGAGUACGGCAGAUUUAGUCAGUUACGAGUCCCAUUUGCAGGGCUCAUGUAAUGCUGUGGUAAUGAAGAUAAAGAAUAAUGAGUGUCUAAAGUAGUUAGGUUAGGUUAGGUUAUGUUUAUCAUUGGUUAGUCAGUUAAGGUAGUCAGGUUAGGUUAGGUUAGGUUUAUCAUUGGUUAGUCAGUUAAGGUAGUCAGGUUAGGUUAGAUUAGGUUUAUCAUUGGUUAGUCAGUUAAGGUAGUCAGGUUAGGUUAGGUUAGGUUUAUCAUUGGUUAGUCAGUUAAGGUAGUCAGGUUAGGUUAGGUUAGGUUUAUCAUUAGAUAGUCAGUCAGUUAGGCCUCAAAAGUUACAUAUGUGGGAUCUCUGCUUUGCUGUGGUCAUGAAGAAUAAUUGCUAAAUGUCAAAGGUACAUAAUGGGUUAGAUAGAAAGAAUGGAGAAUGAGAAGGAGGAAGAGGGGGAGAGGAGUAGGAAUAUGACUUUGGGGUGAGAACAUGGAGGAGGAAGUGAAGAAGAAGGAAGGGAAGGAUGAGGAGGAGGAAUAGAGGGUUUGAAGUUAGAGGAGGAGGAAGAGAAGGAAGGUGACUUUGAUGUGACGAAAUAAAGGAGGAAAAGGAGGAGGAGGUGAAGAAGGAGGAAGGGAAGGAUGAGGAGGAGGAAUAGAGGGUUUGAAGUUAGAGGAGGAGGAAGAGAAGGAAGGUUACUUUGAUGUGAGAAAAUAAAGGAGGAAAAGGAGGAGGAGGAGGAGGAAGGGAAGGAUGAGGAGUAGAAAUAGGAAUAGAGUUGAAGUAGGAAACAAUGGCAACAAAUAAUAACAAAUAUAUAAGGCACAAAUUAGUAUUAAAAAAAGGAUAAUAUGCCCAAAGCUAUUUCUCUCAACCCGUCCGCUGCGAUUGGCACGGAUUUAGCCUUCACUGGUAGCCUGGUAACAUUUACUCCCAAGUCUUUCUCUGCCUCUGUGGUGGAUAGUGGAGUGUUUCCCAUGUGGUAUUGGUGUGCUUGAUAUCCCCUUCCAAGGUGCAGGACUUCACAUUUUUCUUCAUUGAGUUGUAGCAGCCACUUUUUGUUCCAUUCCUGUAGCUUGGUGAUGUCUUCUUGUCGGAAAUCCUCAGUCAAGGGGUUAAGAAACAUAGGUGAAAAAGUCUGAAAAUGUUAUGUAUCUUAUGGCUGCACCUCCUCCUCCCCCUCUCUGGUGUUGCGUAGUUUUUGAAUGGCCAUUAUCUCAGUUAUGUGGAUCUGUUGCUAGGAUCUGGGGUUAAUUUUGACGAACCACAUGACAGUUUGAAGCACAGCAAGGGUAUAGCUCAAAGAAAUCCUGCAUGUAGUAAUAGUGGUAGUAAGUGGGUAUAUAUUUUCAAGUCACUUAUUUUGCCUUAAACUACCUUAUUACUACCCAUAUAAGAUCAAAGAAACAAAGAAUGCUAACUAACUAUUUUCAUUAUUCUAAAAUAGUCUAUCAGCAGUCACAUUAAGCCAAGCAGGACUAUGUGAUUAGGGUAGUCAUCAAGCAGGCAUUUCGCUCUUUUCCUGCUCCCCCUUAACUGGUUUCAUUAUGCUAACUAGUCUAUCAGCAGUCAAAUUAGGGAGCAUAAGUUAUGAGGGCAGUAAGCAGGCAUGUCCUUCCCCUUUAUUCUGCUCCUUUUAUCCCUCUUAGUGAGUUCCAUUAAGCUAACUGAUGCCAUUAUGCUAGCUUGUCUAUUAGAAGUCAUAUUAACCAGGAUUAUGUAUUAGGGCAGUAGACAAGCAGGUAGUAUUUCCUUUCCUUUCUCCCUGCUCCCUUAUCCUUAGUGAGUUCCAUUAAGCUAACUGAUGCCAUUAUGCUAACUGGCCUAUUAGAAGUCACAUUAUAUUAACCAGGAUUAUGUAUUAGGGCAGUAGGCAAGCAGGUAGUAUUUCCUUUCCUUUCUCUCCACUCCCUUACCUCCUCUUAGUGAGUUCCAUUAAGCUAACUGAUGCCAUUAUGUUAACUGGUCUAUUAGAAGUCAUUAUAUUAACCAGGAUUAUGUUAUUAGGGCAGUAG